rnacentral:rRNA from 1 species
UACGGAGGGUGCAAGCAUUAAUCGGAUUCAUUGGGCGUAAAGGGGGCGUAGGCGGUUGUGAAAGCCAGAUGUGAAAGCCCGGGGCUCAACCCCGGAUCCGCAUUUGGAACUCCACAUCUAGAGGAUAGGCGGAGAAAACGGAAUUCCACAAGUAGCGGUGAAAUGCGUAGAUAUGUGGAAGAACACCCGUGGCGAAGGCGGUUUUCUAGCUUAUUCCUGACGCUGAGGCCCGAAAGCUAGGGGAGCAAAC